GAGAAUUUAUCAUAUAUAUAUCAUACAGACAUGUGAGACAAGAGGAGGACUAGUAUAGAAAAAUUCAGAGUCAUAAUAAAGAGGUCGAGUUCAGUUUAUAGACUCAAGGUAAGUUUGAUGGAGUAAAGGGUUCUGAAUAGAACCCUAGUCCAAAAAAAAAGUCAAGCCUGCCAAAAACCCCAAAUACUAGGGUUUCUGACUCAAAUCAGAUGCAUAGACGAGAAGACAAUAACUAGAACAAGCUCAGUAGUCUUUUCAGAGACUUAUGAGAAAACAAAUAAAUAGCACAACAGGCUCAAGACAAAUGUAAUGUAGAAACCAAUUUGAAGCAUAGGGAACACGUUUUAAGAAAAACUUGUCACUCAAACAAGUUCAGAAGAGAAAAAGCGAUACAAGCUUAGGAAAACAGCAGAUGAAACAUGUCUAGAAAGAACUCAAACAAAGCCCAGAAGAAGACGAGUAAAGAGCUAAAGCUUAGUAGAAAAGUCAGUAAAGGGACACGGGGUAAAUGAACAUGUGAAAGCAUGAUAUAGAAAUUAGUAGAAGAAAGAACGAAGCAUAGUAAUGCAGGCAUAAGAACAUAACAUAGGCCGAUACACUUAAUGAAAAGAAGAAAAAGAAUCAUGCUUAAUAAAAAGAAAAUAGUAUAUCAAAUACAUGAAUUAGAGAAGAAAAUAUACGAGACAAUCACAGAAAAACACACAUAAUGAAAAGAGUAGAAAGAAUCAAAAGGUUUUUCAAAAACCCUAGUUUAAAAAUCAAACGAUUUUAAAAAGAAAAAUUGGGGAAAACGCUUAAAACGUUUAAUAUAGCACAGAUAUAACAUAGAUCUAAGAAAACAACCAGAGAAAAACCUCGAAUAACUUUAGGGUUUCAUAAAAACUGUAGAAAUGAGAAGGCUUGGAAGAAAGUCUGGUCUCGAGUCGGAGAUGGCUAGAGAUAGGCUCUUAAAGCUUGAACACGCCAGAGCAAGGCCGAAGAGGCUAUAGAACCACGGAUCUGCAGAGGAUCAGAACGGAUACCAUCGAGGUCAGACCUCGAAAUCUCAAACACCCAGGGUUUAUGGGUGAAGGGAGGUGAGUACAGGCCGUCUGUGACCGGAGAAGCCAUGGAUUCCCGUGAGAUUAUGGUCGGAGAAGGGUGAGAGGGGCUAGGGUUUCAGGACCCUUUGAGUGAGUUUGAGAGAGGGAGAGAUUUCAGAGGUGGCUG
rnacentral:lncRNA from 1 species